rnacentral:tRNA from 1 species
GGAGAUGUUGUUUAGAGGUAGAGCACUUGCUUAGAAAGCAGGAGGGCCUGUAUUCAAUCCCCAGCAUCUCAA